UCCCACCAAAUUUAUUGGCCUAAAGUCCUUCAAGUCCUCAACCCCCCUUUCUUAGGAAUCAAAACUAAGAAAGUUGCAUUCAAGCUUCUUACAAAUCUCCCCGUCUCAUGAAACUAUCUAAACAAAUUCAUAACUUCCUCCUUCCCACGCAAAUUGCCAAAAGGCCAUUGAGAAGCCAUCUGGCCCUGGUACUUUUUCUCCACAACAAUAUUCCAACGCCUCAAAAACCUCCUCCUCUGAAAAGGGCUUCUCCAACCUCUCCACAUCCCCUGCUUCCAGCCUUUCAAAAAUUAACCCGUCUAUACUAGGCUUCCAUUCGCCUGGAUCUGUCAACAACUCUUGAAAAUUUCUGUCAAUCUCCUCUUUGAUUUCACUUUCCUCAGUUAAAUACCUCUCAUUCACCUUUAUUCUAUUCAGCUGAUUCCUCCUCCUGUGAGCAUUUGUCAUUUUAUGAAAAAAACUUGGUGUUUCUAUCCCCUUUUUUCAGCCAGAUUUCCCUAGACUUUUGCCUCCAUGAGACUUCUUCCAAUAAAACCCACUUCUUAUAUAACUCCCUUGCCUCCUUCCUAGUCUCUUCUUCUUCCAUUGACAGAGAUCGACCCCUUUAUUCCUUGUCCCAAUAAUCUAUUAAAAUCCAUGUUUUCUGCUUCUCGCAGUCAAUCUGUCCAAACACCUCUUUAUUCCAGUUUCUUAACAAAGGUUUUAAAGCCAUAAUUAAAGUUUAUGAUAGUUGCUUUGAUCGUGUAACUCGAUGAGAGAGAAAGAGGGUGAGAGCGUGGGGAAGGGUGACGAUGACGAGGUGGAAUCAAAUCGGAAAAGGCAGAAGUUCGGGGUGAAAUCGAAAACCUUUGAAGUAGAGGUGGAGAAGAGAAGAGGUAAAACCCUAAUAUUCAUUGUAGAAAGUAAAAAAGGUGUGUCCUCAUGGGUGAGAUUGGGGCCGGCAAGUGUCGGGAUGUUUCUGGAAGGGCUUGAACAGUGUAUUAAGGAUGGGAAAAACGACAAAUGGGAGAAGGGAUGGAAGGAAAACUGGAGAAGGUAUUCCAUGGUGCGUGAAGUUAACAAGGCAGGAAGCUUUAUCAGGCUAGGAGUGGUAGAUGCGGAGGAGAAAAGGUUCAGUAUCUGCAUCCCGAGAGGCAGAGGGGGUAGAGAAGGAUGGCCAGUUAUGGCGGAUGUGGUGCGGAACUUGUUUAAAAGGACUGAUAAAAGGGAGGAAAACAAUGGCGAGCCAAUCCCCGAAAGAGUGUCAUCUGAAAUGGGGAAUAGGAAUAGCAUCUGGUUCAGGAUGGAAUUUAAGGAAGAGGACAUCCGCAGAAAUGUGGAUCGGUUGGGACAAUGCUUGGUGGGAAAAUGGAACCCUAAGGCAGCAGAAGGAAGGGAUUUGGCGAGGAUGGGAUGGCGGAUGGAGAAUGCUUGGGAGUUAAAAGGGAAGUUAGGGUUGGCCUGGAUGGAUGAGGGUCAAGCCCUAUUGGAAUUUGAAAAGGCGGCAGAAGCCAGGAAAAUCUUCAAUGUCGGGGAAAGGUUGGUGGGGGGGAUUCACGUUGAUCUGGAGCGGUGGAGUCCGAGCUAUGGGUGUUUGGAAGAAGGGGAUAUAGAAGAGGAACUUUGGGUGAGGAUUAAAGGUUUGCCGUUGUCGCUCUAGGUUCCUAGCAUUUUGCGAAGGGUGGGAGAUGAAUGUGGGGGCUUUGUUUCCAUGGAUGCCUCGACGGAGAAAAUGGAAAACCUUCGGUGGGCGAGGAUUCUAGUGAAGACAAAGAGAGGCGAGUUGCCAAGCUCGAUAGAAAUCGGAGUGGAAGAGACCACAUAUCACCUUCCGCUCUGGUGGGAAGUAAAGCCGAUGAUCAGACAGAAGACGGAGGACUGUCGGGGAGCAACAGUUCGUGAGGAAAGGGAUGACGGAGGCGCACGCGCUGGCCGGCGAGUGGAGGAGUGGGGCAGUGCAGGUCUCGAGGCACUACUACGGUCAGACGAUGUGACGGAAGUGCAGGCGGACGGGAUGGGUAGGGUCUCGUCGGUGGGCCGGAUCCAAUUCGGGUCGAUGCUUCGGGCGUCAAAGGAUGGGGCGGAAGAUGGGUUGACAUUGGAUGGGCUUAAUGGACCCAAUCUAGGUAUGAGGAGGGACGGGGGGCCUAGCCUGCUUUCAACAUUUGGAUUAGUAGGGUCAAAAGAAGUUAGAAGUGGUGGGCUUGGGCCGACAGGCAGAUCGAAAGGCCCAAAAGGCAAGGAGAAAGUGUUGGAGGAGGACCUUGGGCCGCGAUUUGGGCUUUCGAAUCAAAGCAAGUGUAGCGGGCCGUCCUCGAGUUGGAUGCAGGAGAAUGGGGCACAGCUAGGUGGGCCUCCAAGUAAGAAGAGAACAGGCCCGAAGGUGAGGCAACCUAAAUCAGGCCCGAUGGAGGCCUUAGUUCUCUCUGGACUGCUUGGUGAAGCUAACAUUGAGCUUGAAUUCCUAAGAGCGAGAGAGAAGGAAACUGAGAUUGCUCAGAAGGUCAGCCCCCUCAAGGCGAUGGUAGACAGUGUUCUACAGGAUGAAGCUAUGAGGUAUGAGGCUUUAUCUUCUCUAGGGGUUUUCUGGGAAUCGGGGAAUCCGUCUCUUUCUUCUCUAUUUUCUCUUGAUCGGACUCCAGAGGGGGAGUUCUUUGAUCAUUCUAGGGUAUUAAGGGAGGUCUGCCAGAAUGGCAGGGAAUUACAAAGGCAAGGUGCAGCUGGCUCUAGGGCGAGUGGUAGUGCUUGCUGGGACAUGGUUGAAUUCAAAGGCCCUCUAGCAACGGCAAGGGAACAGGAGGGGGGGCCCUCACAGUUUGAGAUUCAAGAAGAAAGAGGGGAAGGGGACCUGGAUUGGCAAGAAAGUAGUCUAGCAAGGUUCAGCCAAUUUCUGGGCUUUUCGACUGAUGGUCUGGAAAAGGAUAUUUUAAAUUUUUUAGUCAAAAUCAGGAAAAGAAGGGAAAAGAUUCAUAGUAAAGGAUUUAUUGGAAAAAUCGAGGUUUGAAAGGGAGCUAAAGAGGUUGGAAUGCUCAGUGAAUUGUGAGGGGGAUGGCAAAAAGAAAGGCCCUAUUCAGGGCAAAGGGGUGCAGACGGAGGUUGAUUAAUGAAUUUCAAACUGUUGAGCUGGAAUGUGAGAGGGAUGAACGAAAGCUUGAAAAGGAAGGUUAUUAAAUCGGUCAUUAAGAAGUAGAAGGUGGACCUUUUCUGUAUCCAAGAGACAAAAAUUCAGGAUAUGACUGACAGGGUGGUGAGAAGUUUAGGGACGGGUAGGUUUUUAGAGUGGAAAGCCCUGAAUGCGUGUAGCUCGGCUGGGGGUAUCCUAAUUUGUUGGGAUAAAAGAGCACUGGAGCCGUUGGAGUGGGAGGUGGGUCAGUUCUCUUUAUCCUGCAGAUUCAGAACUAUGGAGAAUGGGGUGACUUGGGCUUUUACGGGGGUAUAUGGCCCGUUCAUUAGAAUUGAAAGGGAGUGGUAGUGGGAAGAAGUAGGGGCGAUCAGAGGAAUUUGGGAGGGGCCUUGGUGUCUAGGUGGUGAUUUCAACAUUACCCUGGCUCAAGGUGAGAGAAGUAGGCAAGGAAGAGUAUCUUCAGCCAUGAGGAGGUUUGCGGAAGUUGUAGAUGAGCUAGGUCUUGUGGACCUUCAAUUGCAAGGGGGUGCCUUCACGUGGAGUGGGGGUUUGAAUAGUCUGUCAAAGGCUCGUCUAGAUAGAUUUUUGGUGUCCCCUUGCUGGCUUGAUCAGUUUAGUAGGGUGAGCCAGCGCAGGCUUCCCAAGCCGACCUCGAAUCACUUUCCAGUACUACUUGAGGGGGGUAGUUGGAGGAGAGGGCUUGCCCCCUUCAGAUUCGAAAACAUGUGGUUCAAAGUCGAGGGGUUUAAGGAUUUAAUCCGGAGUUGGUGGUGGGGAAUAGAGGUCAGGGGCAGCGCCAGUUUUAGAUUGUCGGCAAAAUUGAAGGAACUGAAGCAGAAACUUAAAGUUUGGAAUAGGGAGAAGUUUGGUAAUCUAGAAAGUAACAAGGAGGCUGCGAUCCAGCAAGUGGAGUUUUGGGACAGAGUGGAGGAUGAAAGAAGCUUGGCAAUGGAGGAAUUAGCUUGUAAGAAGGAAGCCAAGGAGGAUUAUGCCAAGUGGGUAGAUCUGGAAGAAACUCAUUGGAGGCAGGUGUCUAGGGAACUUUGGUUGAAGGCAGGUGAUAGGAACACGGGAUACUUCCACCGAAUGGCUUCUGCCCAUAGGAGAAUUAAUCACAUGGACAGAAUUAAAAUCAAUGGGAUUAGACUAACAGAGGAGCGUGAAAUUAGAGAAAGGGUAGCAAAUGCUUUUCAGCAGCAAUUUUCAGAAAAUUCGGGGUGGAAGGCGGACAUUGGAAGCCUUCCUUUUAAUCAAAUUAGCAUGCAAGAGGCAGAGAUUUUGGAGGCUCCCUUCACGGAGGGUGAAGUCCAGUCAGCCCUAAUGGAAAUGAAUGGGGAUAAAGCCCCAGGCCUUGACGGGUUCUCUGUUUUCUUUUGGCAAUGCUAUUGGGAUUUCGUCAAGGAGGAAAUAAUGGAGAUGUUUAAGGAGCUCCAUGUCCAGAAUACGUUCCUUAAGAGUAUUAACAACACGUUUCUGGUGCUGAUUCCUAAGAAAGGAGGGGCUGAGGAUUUAGGAGACUUCAGACCCAUCAGCCUAUUGGGGGGUCUCUAUAAGCUGAUGGCAAAGGUGUUGGCCAAUAGGCUUAAGAAAGUAAUAGGUAAAGUAGUAUCCCACGAUCAGAACACGUUUGUUACGGGUAGGCAGAUUCUUGACGCCUCUCUAAUAGCAAAUGAAGCGAUAGACUUCUGGAAUAAGAAGGGGGAUAAGGGGGUUAUCUGCAAGCUAGAUAUAGAGAAGGCCUAUGACAGUAUCAACUGGCAAUUCCUCUUGAAGGUCAUGGAAAAAAUGGGAUUUGGCGCUAAGUGGCUGAGGUGGAUGUGGUGGUGUAUUUCCACAGCCAAAUUUUCAAUUAUGGUGAACAGAACGCCAACUGGUUUCUUUUCGAGUUCAAAAGGGCUGCGACAAGGGGACCCCCUGUCCCCUUACCUUUUUGUCAUGGGGAUGGAAGUGUUGAGUAUUCUUAUCAGAAGGGCUAUGGAGGGGGGUUUCAUCUCAGGGUGCAAAAUUCAACGCGAUAGAGGGCGAGCUGUCCACAUUGCUCAUCUGCUUUUUGCAGAUGACACCAUUGUCUUUUAUGAGGCGAAGAAGGAGUAUUUAACGAAUUUAAAUUGGAUUUUGUUCUGGUUUGAAGCCGCGUCCAGGUUAAGAAUUAAUUUGGCUAAAAGCGAGAUUAUUCCAGUAGGGGAGGUGCAAAGGAUAGAGGAGCUGGCUGUGGAGUUAGGGUGUAGGGUGGGGCAGCUGCCAACUGUGUAUUUGGAGCUACCUUUGGGGGUGCCUAAUAAUGCUGCCUAUGGGUGGGAUGGGGUAGAAAAGAAAAUGAGAAGGAGGCUCGCCCUUUGGAAGAGCCAAUAUAUUUCAAAGGGUGGGAGAAUCACUCUAAUCAAAAGCUCUAUGGUAAGCAUGCCAGUGUAUCAGAUGUCUUUAUUUCGUAUGCCCUGUUCUAUGGCAAGAAGGUUAGAAAAAUUGCAAAGAGACUUUUUUUUUGGGGGGGGGGGGGGGGCCCCCUGGGAGGAAAAAUUCUAUUGGUUAAAUGGGAAGGGGGGUUGGGGGUAAAGAAAAAAGGGGGGUUGGGAAUUUGGAAGUUUUUCUUUUUAAAAAAAGCUUUAUUUGGGAAAGGGCUUUGGGAAUUCCCUUUGAAAAAGGNNNNNNNNNNNNNNNNNNNNNNNNNNNNNNNNNNNNNNNNNNNNNNNNNNNNNNNNNNNNNNNNNNNNNNNNNNNNNNNNNNNNNNNNNNNNNNNNNNNNGGGGGGGGGUCACAUGGAGAGGAAAGUUCAUAUGGUUAAAUGGGAAGUGGUGUGUGGGGAUAAGGAGAUUGGGGGGCUGGGAAUUAGGAAGUUUAUCAUUAUGAAUAAAGCAUUACUUGGCAAAUGGACUUGGAGAUUCGCUUCGGAUAAGGAGGCCCUUUGGAAGCAAGUGCUGAUGGCUAAGUUUGGUCAAGAGGAUUAUGGUUGGAAGACCAAAAAGGCGGUGGGUGCGUGUGGGGUGGAGGUGUGGAAGGAGAUCUUAAAGGAAGUUGGAUGGUGCUGGGACAAAAUGGUGUUUAUUGUGGGGAAAGGUAACAAAAUCAAAUUCUGGACUGAUGUGUGGUGCGAGGAGGCAGCGCUGUCCCAAAGGUUUCCGCAUCUCUACAUUUUGGCAGCCAAUAGAAAUGCAACAGUUGAAGACUUGUGGGACCAGAAUGCAGGGGAAGGGGGCUGGAAUUUGAGUUUUAUAAGGGAUUUUAAUGACUAGGAGGUGGAGAUGGUAGGCAAGUUGCUCCAAGCGUUGAGAGGACUUAGGUUAACUUGGGAGGAUGACUCGAUUUCUUGGAAGGGCGGGGGAAGUGGGCAGUUUAAAGUGAAGGAAGCGUAUAGCUGGCUGGAUAGGCCUAUGGAGGUCAACUUUCCGAAAAACAAGAUUUGGGUGGGAAGAGUCCCAACUAAAAUCAUGUUUUUUGCGUGGGAAGCGACUUGGGAAAAGAUUUUGACUCUUGAUAGGCUCCAAAAGAGAGACUGGCAGCUUCCUAAUCGGUGUUUUUUGUGUGCUUGCGAAGCGGAAAGUGUGGAUCAUUUACUUAUUCAUUGUACAGUGGCUAGAGUGCUUUGGGACUUAGUGUUGGGUUUAGUUGGGGUCAAGUGGGUGUUCCCUAAUACUGUAAAGGAGGUUUUAUAUAGUUGGGGGGUGCUUUUGUGGGGAAAAAAAGGAAAAAAUUCUGAAAUUCCAUUCCGUUAUUCAUUUUUUGGAUGGUUUGGAAAGGAAUAGAUUAGCCUUUAAGGGGAGGGGGGGUUUAGCAAUUCAGAGGUUUAAAUAUUCUUUUAUAUGUAAUUUCUGGGGUUGGGCUAAAUUGUAUAUGGUAGAGGAGCCACUUUCCCUUAUAGAUUUCCUGGAGUGGUUUGCCUCCAGUUAAGGGGUGGUUUGUUUUUUGGCUUUUUGCUUGGUUGGCCUUUGUUGCCUUGUAUACACCCUGUAUACGUUGGGGCUAUUCAGCCUUUUCUUUUAUUGAAUUGUGUUUGCUUAUCAAAAAAAACAAAGGUUUUAAAGCCUUCAAUUUCUUAGUCAAGAUGAAACUAGUUGAUCCGCUCACUUGAAUCCCCUCCCACCACUAUUUUAGCACCUCUUUAAAGCCCUCACUUUUCAGCCACAUAUUCUCAAAUCUAAAAGGCGUGGGUCCUCUCCUCAUUCCUCCCCCAUCUAGAAGAACCAGGGCAUGAUUAGAAAUCGGCCUAGCCAAAACAGUUUGGACCACCCCCUAGAAAUGAGAUUCCCACUCCUCAGAAAUAAGGAAUCGAUCAAUUCUUGACUUUGAUCGAUUAUUAAGACCUCCACACCACGUGAAACUCCCUCCUUGAAGAGGCAAGUCCCUUAAAUCUAGCUCCUCGACCACCUCUGAAAAUCUCCUCAUCUCUUGGGACAAUCGACCCCCUCUGCUCCUCUCAGAGAGGAAUCUGAUCAUGUUGAAAUCUCUUGCUACGCACCAAGGUUCAUUCCAUAUCCCUCUAAUUGGCCCCAACUCACUCCAAAGUUCUUCUCUCUCGACUUUCACCGUGGGGCCAUAAACUCUUGAGAAACACCAACAGAAACCAUCCUCUCAGUUCUUAAAACGACAAGAAAUAGUAAAUUUGCCCACCUCCAUCUCCUCUAAUUGCAGUAUCCUAUUAUCCCAAAACACCAAAACCCCCCCAGCUGCCCCCCUGGAAUUUAAAACCCCCCACUCCAAGCAUCUUCCAACCCUGAGGCUUUUGACCAAACCAUUCGACAUCUCCUGGAUUUUUGUUUCCUGGAGACGCACUAAGUCAACCUUCUGUGAUUUAAUCACCUCCUUUAUUAAUUUUCUCUUUUCCCUAUCGUUUGCCACCCUUACAUUCCACGACAGGAUUCUUAACUUCAUCUAACAGCCUCUUGAUGGCCCCGAUCCCCUUCUAUUCCACCAUAAUUCAUUGACUACUCUAGUUUCUUUAACUCCCAGUCAAAUUUUGAUAGUCUCUGGCCUUUCCUCUUUCUUCCGGUGACCCUCUCGGAAACAUCCCUUCUUUCCCUUAUUCUGUUAAGGAGUUGCAAGAUUUCUCUUUCAAAGCCCUCCGCAGGCAUUCCCAAGUACUGACAAAAUCUUGCCAGACAACUAUACCUCCAAGAAUCCUCGUCAUCAUCUUCUUUCUCAGCCCUAUCGUCCCUCCCCUCUUCCACCAAAAAAGAAAUACCCACUCCCAUCUGAUCGUCCCUUUCUUCCACCGAACACACUCUCAACGGAGUAAAGUUUAACCUCCCUUCACUUUCCUUCACCACAGUGUCGAUUUCACACCUUUCUUCCAUUGCCA
rnacentral:lncRNA from 1 species